rnacentral:rRNA from 13 species
CCUGGCGGCUUUAGCGCGGUGGUCCCACCUGACCCCAUGCCGAACUCAGAAGUGAAACGCCGUAGCGCCGAUGGUAGUGUGGGGCCUCCCCAUGCGAGAGUAGGGAACUGCUAGGC